rnacentral:rRNA from 1 species
GAGUUUGAUCCUGGCUCAGGACGAACGCUGGCGGCGUGCCUAACGCAUGCAAGUCGAACGAAGAACCUUGACUGAACCCUUCGGGGGGAUUUCAAAGUUACUGAGUGGCGCACGGGUGAGUAACGCGUACGCAACCUGCCUUCAAGAGCGGGAUAGCCCCGGGAAACUGGGAUUAAUACCGCAUAGUAUUAUUAACUGGCAUCGGUUGAUAAUUAAAGCUAUGGCGCUUGAAGAUGGGCGUGCGUGCUAUUAUCUAGUUGGUGAGGUAACGGCUCACCAAGGCGACGAUAGCUAUGGGGCGUGAGAGCGUGACCCCAUACACCGGUACUGUGACACA